UUUAUGAAGAUGACUUCCACUUAAUGAAUAAAGCAGCAUUCUACAUCCAGGUACCAGCUUUAUGAUAGUGAGAGAAGAGGAACAAGACACCAUGUCUUGCCAAUGCCCGUCUAGCAUGCGUGGAGUGCAUAUACAGCUACAAGUCCUAGUGGCAGCCCACUCCUGAUUCCUGGCUCACACAGUGGUGCCCUCCUGAAGCCAACAGUUCCUGUGGAAGCUGCCUGACACUCUACAGUGACUUUCCUGAUUGUGAUAGAGGUGGCAGCCAUUAAAAAAAAAAAGAAAAAAGAAUGGCAAAAACUGCAAUUACUUUUGCACCAACCUAAUACCUUUCUGCUGAAGGUAACUCACCAGACAAGCUCCUGUGUCCUGCAAGUGGGCCCUGACUGGUAGAUAUUUAAAUAGUAUUCACAAGUGAAAUAAAAUGAGUACUAGGAUGACAUUUUUUAUUACAUGAUUUUAUAUUCUUUUUCCUACAAAUAAUAAUUACAUUAUCAUUUGCUCAAUUAAUUUUAUGCUUCUGGCUAAGCUUCCCCACCUUCCAAGAGCUUCUCAGUACACAUUUGUACAUGGCUGUCAUCGGAGCUAUCAGAUAAUAUAUUAUUAUUUCUCUGGAGACUUCCACUUUGGGCCAUUCAUUCUCCUGCCCUUAUCUGGGAGGGUUGUCUCCACCCCAGCUGCACAGCAAUCAUGCUGAGGCCUUCCUUCAUGGCAAUCCUGGGAAUUUCUUUGUGACAUCAUAAAAAUAUCUAUUUGGUCCUUGCUCCUGGUUCCUGGCACAGGGAUCCUAAUACCCUUGGAACUGUCUUUUUAUGCUAAUGAGAUGAUUCAUGAAGUGGGCCUAGGUAGCUUCAGGGUACGGGUUGGUCAUCAGAGAAACCAAUCCCAUGAUUCAAGGGUUGAGAAGUUCAGCUCCACAAAUGGCCAAUGAUUUAAUCAAUUUUGCCUAUGUAAUGAAGCCUCCAUAAAACCCUCUAAACAGGAUUCAGAGACCAUCUGGGUUGAUGAACACACUGAUGUGCUGGGAGAAUGGCCCACCCACAGAGGCCACGGAAGCUCUGCACCCAACCACCUCCCCGCCCCACCUGCCGCCACAUACCUUUCCUAUGUAUUUCUUCCAUGUGGCUGUUACUGUGCUGUGUCCUCUAGAAUAAUCUGGUAAAUAUAAGUAAAGCACUUUCCUGAGUUCUGUAAGUCCUUCUAGCAAAGCAUCAAACCUGAGGAAAUCUAAGGAGUAGAGGGAGAGGUUGGAAGGGAUGUUUCUGAGAAGGCUUCUACUAAAAAUCAGAGCACAACAAACUUAUAUGGGAACAUAUUUAUCAAGUAGGGAAGAGUGCAAGAAGGGGAGGAAUGUCUGCUUGAAGCCAGCAGCCUGGACUUAGGUGUGCCCCAGCUCUUCCUAAAAGAAAGCUUCCUCAACCUGGUUUCAGAGGCCAAAGCUUUCCAAUACCAGACGGUGAUAUACCUAAGGGGACUGGAAAAUGAGAUCUAGGCAGGACUGGAGACAGCACUUGUGGGACCCAGUGCAACGCAAAAAUGAGGCGCCUUUGUUAGAAAGUGACGAAGAAUUUCCAGAGAUUGAAAGCAAAGCAAGAAACCAGGGCCCUUUUGAGUGUGGGCCCAUGCGCCUGCUCAGGAAGCCAGCCCUGGGUGUAGGAUAGUUGUAUAAUAGGGAGCAGUUAAGCUCCUAUCUAGGUCUUAAUGCACACACAUAUUAAAAAGACUUCUCCAUCAUCCCCUGAAGCUAUUUUAAAUAAGGCAUUGAUUAUCUAGGCUUUCCAAAUAGGUAUUUCUGCCCUCCACCCUGAAGAUUUUCAGUAUAGAAAGUUUCAAACAUAUACAAAAGUAGAGAGUACCCGCAUGUACCCAUCACACAGCUUCAACAAUCAUGCACACAGGACCAAUCUUAUUUUAUCUUCUUUUUUUUUUUUUUGAGACAG
rnacentral:lncRNA from 1 species